rnacentral:rRNA from 1 species
UACAGAGGGUGCGAGCGUUGUCCGGAAUCACUGGGCGUAAAGGGCGCGUAGGCGGUCGCUUAAGCGUGUGGUGAAAGCCCGGGGCUCAACUCCGGGUCGGCCAUGCGAACUGGGGGACUGGAGCUUGUCAGAGGCAGGCGGAAUUCCGGGUGUAGCGGUGGAAUGCGUAGAGAUCCGGAAGAACACCGGUGGCGAAGGCGGCAUCCUGGACCAACACUGACGCUGAGUGAGCGAAAGCCAGGGGAGCAAACGGG